rnacentral:misc_RNA from 1 species
CAGCAUUUUAGAGGGAUCAUUCCUUCAUCUCGGGUAGCAGAGGCAGCAGCAUAUGCAUGCUUUGCUGCCUCUGAUGCAACUGAUGCAGCUCGUCGCACAACUGCACUGAAGCUUAAUCCUUUUUUCGAGUCGUGGUCUACAGAAUUUUGGCUCAAGUCCUGCUUGCUUUGAUCUACAACACCAGACACAGCUACUUCAACUUCCCCGCGUCCUCCGGGGCCUUUCAUGUAAAUCCUGUCAGUUUUCCCGACAGAAUGAAGUGAAAGAAGGCUCCCAAAUCCAGACCUUCCAGCGUCAUAUGCAUCUCGGACCAUUUGAUAGCUAACGAAGCCUGAGAAAAGAGUAAUCUUUGAUGUUGGUGCUUUUCCAGAACUUGUAUCACUACUUGACGUAUCAGCAGGACUGCAGUCUUG